rnacentral:rRNA from 1 species
AACGCAUUAAGCACUCCGCCUGGGGAGUACGACCGCAAGGUUGAAACUCAAAGGAAUUGACGGGUGCCCGCACAAGCGGUGGAGCAUGUGGUUUCAUUCGAAGCCACGCGAAGAACCUUACCAGGUCUUGACAUCCUUUGACCACUCUGGAGACAGAGCUUUCCCUUCGGGGACAAAGUGACAUGUGGUGCAUGGUUGUCGUCAGCUCGUGUCGUGAGAUGUUGGGUUAAGUCCCGCAACGAGCGCAACCCUUGAUUUUAGUUGCCAGCAUUUAGUUGGGCACUCUAAAGUGACUGCCGGUUCAAGCCGGAGGAAGGUGGGGAUGACGUCAAAUCAUCAUGCCCCUUAUGACCUGGGCUACACACGUGCUACAAUGGAUAGUACAAAGGUUCGCGAAUCCGCUAGGUGGAGCUAAUCCCAUAAAACUAUUCUCAGUUCGGAUUGUAGGCUGCAACUCGCCUCCAUGAAGCCGGAAUCGAUAGU